AGAGUUUGAUCCUGGCUCAGGACGAACGCUGGCGGCGUGCUUAACACAUGCAAGUCGAACGGAAAGGCCCUUCGGGGUACUCGAGUGGCGAACGGGUGAGUAACACGUGGGUGAUCUGCCCUGCACACUGGGAUAAGCCUGGGAAACUGGGUCUAAUACCGGAUAGGACCACACACUUCAUGGUGAGUGGUGCAAAGCUUUUGCGGUGUGGGAUGAGCCCGCGGCCUAUCAGCUUGUUGGUGGGGUAAUGGCCCACCAAGGCGACGACGGGUAGCCGGCCUGAGAGGGUGACCGGCCACACUGGGACUGAGAUACGGCCCAGACUCCUACGGGAGGCAGCAGUGGGGAAUAUUGCACAAUGGGCGCAAGCCUGAUGCAGCGACGCCGCGUGAGGGAUGACGGCCUUCGGGUUGUAAACCUCUUUCAGCACAGACGAAGCGCAAGUGACGGUAUGUGCAGAAGAAGGACCGGCCAACUACGUGCCAGCAGCCGCGGUAAUACGUAGGGUCCGAGCGUUGUCCGGAAUUACUGGGCGUAAAGAGCUCGUAGGUGGUUUGUCGCGUUGUUCGUGAAAACUCACAGCUUAACUGUGGGCGUGCGGGCGAUACGGGCAGACUUGAGUACUGCAGGGGAGACUGGAAUUCCUGGUGUAGCGGUGGAAUGCGCAGAUAUCAGGAGGAACACCGGUGGCGAAGGCGGGUCUCUGGGCAGUAACUGACGCUGAGGAGCGAAAGCGUGGGGAGCGAACAGGAUUAGAUACCCUGGUAGUCC
rnacentral:rRNA from 1 species